rnacentral:misc_RNA from 1 species
GAUGAAGAACGUAGCGAAAUGCGAUAAGUAAUGUGAAUUGCAGAAUUCAGUGAAUCAUCGAAUCUUUGAACGCACAUUGCGCCCGCCGGUAUUCCGGCGGGCAUGCCUGUCCGAGCGUCAUUGCUGCCCUCAAGCACGGCUUGUGUGUUGGGCCCCGUCCUCCUUCCGGGGGACGGGUCCGAAAGGCAGCGGCGGCACCGCGUCCGGUCCUCAAGCGUAUGGGGCUUUGUCACUCGCUUUGUAGGCCUGGCCGGCGCUUGCCGAUCAACCAAACUUUUUAUCAGGUUGACCUCGGAUCAGGUAGGGAUACCCGCUGAACUUAAGCAUAUCAAUAAGCGGAGGA